rnacentral:rRNA from 1 species
UACAGAGACUGCAAGCGUUAUUCGGAUUCACUGGGCGUAAAGGGCGCGCAGGCGGCCGAGUGUGUGAGGCGUGAAAGCCCGGGGCUUAACCCCGGAAUUGCACCUCAGACUACACGGCUAGAGCAUUGGAGAGGGUAGCAGAAUUCAUGGUGUAGCAGUGAAAUGCGUAGAUAUCAUGAGGAAUACCAGAGGCGAAGGCGGCUACCUGGACAAUUGCUGACGCUCAGGCACGAAAGCGUGGGGAGCAAACAGG